UAGGAUUAGAUGGGCGAAAUUGGACACUAAUACCAGGGGAAGACAAUGGGUAUCCAGCUAAAAUAGGCCCUUCAUCAGUCAGUCUCCAUAUAAUCAACGUACAAUCGUCGCCCACAGAUGCUAUCACCUGCUCAGCGAGACGAUUAUCAGCGGAAUAGACGUCUGCAAUAUCGAUAUCAUUCACAAAAUUAUGAUGCCCAGAUUUUCCGCCCAACACAUGUUGAGUAAUAAUGGUUUCAUUCUUUGUAAUUAUUAGACGAACUGUAUUAUCCUGACACACACAUGCAAGAAACAAAGAAUACACAGGUGAGGAAUUCACAUUUCCAUCGCCAUCAUGCAAAUUCUCAGAAUAACUACAGCUAGAUGAAAAAGAAAGAUGCAAAGUGGGUAACCCAGUUUGAAUAGUGAACAACUCUUGUAAUGUCAAACCUGUAGAUCCGGGCGUCUGUUCUUCUGAAGCACAAUAAAUAGUGAUACCCGUA